UACGAACUGUGCAAACGUUAUUCGGAAUUACUGGGCGUAAAGGGUUCGUAGGUGGCUCGCUAAGCCAGACGUGAAAUCCCUCAGCUUAACUGGGGAACUGCGUCUGGGACUGGAGAGCUUGAGUGCAGGAGAGGAAUGCGGAAUUCCAGGUGUAGCGGUGAAAUGCGUAGAUAUCUGGAGGAACACCGGUGGCGAAGGCGGCAUUCUGGACUGCAACUGACACUGAGGAACGAAAGCCAGGGGAGCAAACGGG
rnacentral:rRNA from 1 species